UACGUUUUUCUAGGGCUUUCAUUCGUUUCCCCUCUGUCGCCGCCUCUGAUUCCUUUCUUUUUUUUUUUUUUUUUUCAUCCUUGAAUUUAUUUAAUAAAUCGUCGAUAUAGGUUUUAUAUUUUGAACUUCGUUGAUCGAUUUUGUGGUUUUAAGGUUUUGUUACCAUCAUUUUUUUUUUCCGAUUUUUGUUUUCGCUGAGAGAUCUCUGAAAUUUGAUUCAUCUCUGUGACGAUUUCACAACUCGGAUCUAUUCUGAUGAUCGAUUUGAUGAUUAGAACGAAUUUUUUUAAAUUUUGAGGCGUUAUUUGUGCGAGUAAUCUGACGAUUCAAAGGGUUUUUUUCUCGUCGUCGUCGGAGGUUUUGUUGUUCGUCUUCUGUUUCGUAGAUCUGCUAUGUUUUUGCCUUGGCAGAUCUGUUGUAGCUGCUCUGAUGGUGCACAUCUAUGGUGAAUCGGAGACGAUCUGAGAUCCAGUGCGGGAGUCAACGUCCCAGAUGGAGAUCCAUGGAGAUCGGGUGGAGUUCGUGUUCCAUUUCUCGAGUUCUAUGCGGAUCGAGGUCGACGAUGCUCCUGAUCUGGAGAUUUUGCCGAGGAGUGUUCCGAUCUGAUGACCUGUUGUUGGUAGAUCUCACCUGAUGUCUCUUGUGAUAAGAAGAAACUACGUGUAAGAGAUGUUAUGGGGGGGAAUCGAUCACAUCGAAUCAUGGAAAGGGGUGGUGGGGGUUCUACACUUGGUGAUCGUCUGUGGAAUGGUAUGGUAUGGUAUGGUAUGGUGAUGCUUGUUGUUGUUCUACGUAGGCCUUUGCCAUGUUGGGUGCGCUCGCAUGGCAGGUCAAAAACCCUAAUAAAAAGUUUCUCUUUUUGCGUGCUUUGGGAGGGAGAUCGCACGGGGUGUUUUUGUUCCCCGGGUUCUCCCCAUUUUUGGCUUCUGCUGCUUAUGCGUUCUCGCACUCUUCUUCUCCUUCCUCGUCGCUUACUAUUUUCAGUGACAUGGAUAAAAACACUACGCAAUGGUAUCCUUGACGAGCUCCUCUUCGACUUGCUCCUCUUCGUCCCCAUCAGUGAGCCUCCUCAUUAGGAUCGACGGCGAAAGAGAGAAGUGGCGUCCAACGUGCGACCUCCUCCCGCUCAACCAAUUGUGCUGCAAGUAGCUCUCAAUAGGGAGAAAGACCACCUCCCGCUCAACCAUUGUGCUGCAAGUAGCUCUCAAUAUGGAGAAAGACGCCUGGUGGAUCUGCCUGAUGCAUGGAGACUGGCUGAUAUGACUAAUACAUCUGCCUCGUUUAUUUGCAGCUGGUUUUUCGAUGCUUGGCCUUACCUUACCGUCCGACCGUCCCCUACCAAUUAUUAAAUUGAGGUAUAUGUGGUGGAAUUCUUUCUCAUGUUUGAUUUAUUUGUUGCAAGUAUGUCUUCAGCGAGCGUGAUGUGAUCUGCAUUGAUUUGUUCUUCUUGUGGCCUACUAAUUACCUACUUAAGUUGCCUAAUUUUAAUUUGCUUUUCUAUUGGAGUAGACUUGGCCUCUUUAACUUAUGUACAUCUGCAGUUUUUUUUGCCAGUAUUUGCUGUACAUUUUACUCUGCUAUCUGAUGUAUAUUUGGUUGGGAGAUGUUUGGGAACUUUCCUUUAUGAGAUUUGCUUAUGGUUGGUUUUGUUAGUAAAUAUUGUGUUAUAUGAUGAAAA